rnacentral:tRNA from 1 species
ACCUGGCUGGCUCGGUCAGUAGAGCAUAAGACUCUUGAUCUCAGGGUGGUGAGUUCAAGCCCCAUGUUGGGCA